rnacentral:lncRNA from 1 species
UGAAUAUUUAUCAUUUUAUUUGGCCACCCAAUAUUUGAACUCCUUUUUCAUUGAGAAGUUCCCACUUCAUGAGUCUUCAUUGUCUUCAGUGGCUGCUUCCCACUGUAGAUGCCAAAAAUGCAGCAACUGGCUUUCCCAGCAGCCUUUGCAGCCAGGCACAGGCUGUACACAGGAUCCAUCCACCAUGUGCCACCCUGGGUUUUGACUCUGGAGCUAGACACAGGAAGGGUGGAGUUCUCUCUCUCCCUACUGCAGGUUCAAGUUUGUGCACAGAGGUGACUGUGAUGCCAAUGAUAGUGCCCAACAUUCAAUGGCUGAAGCAGUAGAAGUUUCUCCAGACUCCUUCCACCAUGUGAUUCUCGGUGCUGCUCCAGGCUGCUUAUUCUCCAGCCUUACUGUCAGCAUUCCUACUGAUUCUCCAGCCACCCAGUGUUCUUUGCAUCAAACUCUCUUCGGCUUCAGUCAGCCAGAGUUGGCUGAUGCCUGUAACUAAAAAUCAUGGCUGAUACAGCUACAUUGCAAUGUGAGCCACAGCCUGCAGCUUGCAAUGCCUCUACCUAUGAGGGUCUCUCUUCAGUGUGAGAGAAUGGUACCAAACUCUGCCAGAGUACCCAGAAGGGGCCAAGUGUCUGACAGAGCUAGAAGGAGGCCGGUAUUGAUGGCCCCAGAUGAGAAACCCUGACCUCUGGGCCCUCUUCCUGACUUAGUGACAUACAGCUCUUUUUCUGAGGUUUCCUGAACAUGUCCAGCUCUGCCAUCCUCAAGGAAAUCAAGUUAAAUUAGAAAAGAAGGCACCAAAAAACUCCACACAGCAACCUGCAAAGGUAUGUGUAGAAGAGGCAGAGAUAGACAUGUAGACUCACUUAUGUUCACACUCAGGGAUGUUGUUGUAAAGCAGCUUUGGAGAAAACUGCCUACUCCUCUCUUCACCCCUCCUUCCUGCCCAUUGCAUACUGAGUCAUCUGCAAUACAGCCUAGUAGGCUCCUAAUGCACAUGUCCAGCACUCCAAUUUAUUUCUACCCCAGGGACAGUUCUACUUCCCGUCCCCCUCUCCCUCCCUCUCCUUCUGAGCUCUUCUGUAGGCAAUAAAGUGAGAGUGUGCAAAAGUGUAGAAUUAGCAGGCUUGGGUCCCUCACAUAGCAAGUUAUCCAUCAGACUCAACUUAUUCGUCUAUAAAAUGGGAUCAAUGAUACCUAUUUUGCAAAGUUGGUAAUGAAAUGACCAUGCUAGUACUCUAAAAGAUACUCUAUAAAUUUUGAUCCUUUUCCCUUCUUGAUUCUGAUCCUGGUAGCCCAGCAGCCUGAGACUCACAGUAUCCAGGGUCAUGUUUGGCAGCAGCCCAGGAAGGGUCAGCACUUGUAGGUAAGAGGGGAGGAAGGGAGGAGCCAAUGGACCAGUGAGGAUGCCAGGGAUGAGAAAUGAUUGAGCUGUUUAACAGCAGAGGAUGAUUCUCCCAGGCUUGGGGGAGAGGUCCCUGGGCCACACCUGUCAUAAAGCAUCAGGAAACCAUCAAUCCACAUCAAAGUGGUCAAUUCCUUGGUCUCUGAGUGUUUAAAUCACAAACACGAUCAAUACUGAACUCUGAAUGUUGCACCGGCCCUUCAUCCAGAGGCUCCAUGCCUCCUCUACAGGCUCUGCUCCCUUUCAGGCAGUCCUCCAGAGUUGGCUGCACCUAUCUUCUCCAAGGGUUUUCAAGACUGUUGUUCCACAAAGCCAAUGGCCUAUUGGGUCAACGUCCUUCCUUCCCAUCAAUGGAUGUGCUGAUAUCGUGUUCUCUCAGGUCAGUCUUAAUCCACCAUACUUGGGCCUGAGCCUAUCUCUUCUGUAAAGACCUACUGGCCCCUUAUACUUUGUGGAAUAAAAUCUUCACCUUGAUCUUUUUCACCCAAGUUGGUAACUCAAUGCAGUCUUCCUGCUGGACCACUUCCUCAAUCUUGGGACAUCAAAUAUAUACUCUCAACCUCCUUGAACACAAUAAAACUUAACUUUCUCCAGGUAGGAAGCCAUGAACACUGCAUAUUGCACAUGGGACCUAAAGACAUGGGAGGAAGAAACAGCAUCAGGUUGUCUCACGUGGUGAAGCUUUCAGAAUACCCUCCCUUACAGGCAGCACUGU